rnacentral:rRNA from 1 species
GUCUUUUUGUUUUAAAUAUAAAGUAUAACCUGCCCAUUGAAUUUUUUAAAAGGCUGCGGUAUUUUGACCGUACAAAGGUAGCAUAAUCAUUAGUUUUUUAAUUGAGAACUUGUAUGAAUGGUUGAAUGAGAAAUAGACUUUUUUAAUAGAAAAAUUGAAUUUUACAUUUUAAUUAAAAGGUUAAAAUAUUUUUAAAAGACGAGAAGACCCUAUAGAGUUUUAUAAUUUAUAUUUAAUACAAAAAAAAAUUAAUAAAUAUUUUUAUUUAAAUAAUUAUUUUGUUGGGGCGACGAUAAAAUUUAAUAAACUUUUAUUUUUUUUUACAUUAAUAUAUGGGGGGCUGAUCCGCUAUUGGCGAUUAAAAAUUUAAAUUACCUUAGGGAUAACAGCGUAAUUUUUUUUUUAAGUUCAUAUUAAUAAAAAAUUUUGCGACCUCGAUGUUGGAUUAAGAUUUAAUUUUAGGUGCAGAAGUUUAAAAUUUAAGUCUGUUCGACUUUUAAAUUCUU